rnacentral:rRNA from 1 species
CUCAGGAUGAACGCUGGCGGCGUGCCUAACACAUGCAAGUCGAACGAGGUAUUUGAUUGGAGAUUCGUCAAAGAUCGUUAUACCGAGUGGCGGAUGGGUGAGUAACGCGUGGAGAACCUGCCCUUAUCUGGGGGAUAACAACUGGAAACGGUUGACAAUACCGCAUACGCUUCCUAAGUCGCAUGACCAUGGAAGGAAAGAUUUAUCGGAUAAGGAUGGCUCCGCGUCGGAUUAGCCAGUUGCGGGUAACGGCCCACCAAAGCGACGAUCCGUAGCCGGCCUGAGAGGGCGACCGGCCACAUUGGGACUGAGACACGGCCCAGACUCCUACGGGAGGCAGCAGUGGGGAUAUUGCACAAUGGGGAAACCCUGAUGCAGCGACGCCGCGUGGAGGAAGAAGUAUUUCGGUAUGUAAACUCCUAUCAGCAGGGAAGAAAACGACGGUACCUGACUAAGAAGCCCCGGCUAACUACGUGCCAGCCGCCGC